rnacentral:rRNA from 1 species
AAUCAACGCUGGCGGCGUGCCUAACACAUGCAAGUCGAACGAGAAAAGUUCCUUCGGGAACCAAGUACAGUGGCGAACGGGUGAGUAACGCGUGGGUAACCUGCCCUUGGAAGGGGGAUAACACGAGGAAACUGGUGCUAAUACCGCAUACGCCUGUGACGAGAGAUUGUUACAGGGAAAGCUCUUCGGGGUGUCCAAGGAGGGGCCCGCGUCCGAUUAGCUAGUUGGUGGAGUAACGGUUCACCAAGGCGACAAUCGGUAACCGGUCUGAGAGGACGGACGGUCACACUGGGACUGAGACACGGCCCAGACUCCUACGGGAGGCAGCAGUGGGGAAUUUUGCGCAAUGGGGGAAACCCUGACGCAGCAACGCCGCGUGAAGGAAGAAGGCUUUCGAGUUGUAAACUUCUGUUUCGGGGGACGAAGAAGUGACGGUACCCCGGCAGCAAGCCCCGACUAACUCCGUG